GUCGGCGCUGUGUUCUAUCACACCCCGCAAUCCGAGUACGGAGUAAUAAGAGGGAGAGAGCGCGCGAGAGAGACGUACCAAAGAAAAGAGGAGAAGGUGAAUAAGAAAAAGAGUAGUACCCUCAUUGGAUCAGCCAAUCUUCAGCACUUGAAAUAUACUGUUAAAGGGUCCUGGAAGAUUGGGAAUGGCUACCCUUGCUGAUUCUUUCUUGGCGGACCUUGAUGAUUUAUCUGAUAAUGAAGCCACUCUUCUUGAUGAUGAUGGUGAGGAUGCAGGAGAUGUGGAGGAGGAUGCUGAUGGUGACAUGGCUGACAUUGAAACUCUCAAUUAUGAUGAUCUGGAUAGUGUUUCAAAACUGCAGAAAACACAACGUUAUAUUGACAUCAUGCAGAAAGUCGAAGAUGCACUUCAAAAGGGAUCAGAUAUGUCAAGCCAUGGAAUGGUUUUGGAGGAUGAUCCUGAAUAUCAGCUUAUAGUUGAUUGCAAUGCUUUGUCAGUUGACAUUGAGAACGAAAUUAUUAUUAUCCACAAUUUUAUUCGUGACAAUUAUCGCUUGAAGUUUCCUGAGCUUGAAUCCCUCGUACACCACCCAAUUGAUUAUGCCCGAGUCGUGAAGAAAAUCGGAAAUGAAGUGGAUCUAACUCUGGUUGAUCUGGAAGGCCUUUUACCCUCAGCUAUUAUUAUGGUUGUUUCCGUCACGGCAUCAACUACCAGUGGAAAGCCACUACCAGAAGAGAACCUUAAAAAGACAAUUGAUGCAUGUGACCGAGCUCUUGCACUUGAUUUAGCGAAGAAGAAGGUCCUUGACUUUGUAGAGAGUAGAAUGGGAUAUAUUGCACCAAACCUUUCUGCUAUUGUUGGGAGUGCAGUCGCAGCAAAGCUAAUGGGGACAGCUGGUGGUCUUUCUGCACUAGCUAAGAUGCCAGCGUGUAAUGUUCAGCUUCUUGGUGCGAAGAAAAAGAACCUGGCUGGGUUCUCUACAGCAACCUCUCAGUUUCGAGUGGGCUAUGUUGAGCAAACCGAGAUCUUCCAGAGCACACCCCCUUCUUUGAGGAUGCGAGCAUGCCGGUUAUUGGCUGCAAAAUCAACACUUGCAGCACGAGUAGAUUCAACAAGAGGAGAUCCAACAGGGAAGACUGGGAGAGACUUGCGAGAGGAGAUCCGGAAAAAGAUUGAGAAAUGGCAAGAGCCACCUCCCGCAAAGCUUCCAAAACCUCUUCCAGUUCCUGAUUCUGAGCCUAAAAAGAAGAGAGGAGGUCGUCGGUUGCGGAAGAUGAAGGAAAGGUAUGCAAUAACAGAUAUGAGGAAGCUGGCCAAUAGAAUGCAGUUUGGUGUACCAGAAGAGAGCUCCUUAGGGGAUGGACUGGGCGAAGGGUACGGCAUGCUUGGUCAAGCUGGAAAUGGGAAGUUGCGUGUAUCAGUUGGCCAGAGCAAACUUGCUGCAAAAGUUGCUAAAAAGUUCAAGGAAAAGCACUAUGGGAGCAGCGGUGCCACCUCAGGAUUGACUUCAAGUCUGGCAUUUACACCUGUGCAGGGAAUUGAGCUCACAAAUCCACAGGCUCACGCAAAUCAGCUAGGCAGUGGCACUCAAAGUACCUAUUUCUCAGAAAUAGGAACGUUCUCAAAGAUCAAGAGGACUUGAAAUUCCCUUAGCUCUCCCCUUUUCUUACUUAGUCCAGUUGGUUUUGCAACUAUUCUUCUGAUGUUCCGAGGAAACUGCUCCUGAAGUAAUGGCAAUAUGGUUUGGGCUGUCCAGAUGGGUAUUGGGCGAGAAGCCCAAAAUCGGUUGCUUCAACUAUGAGAGGAGCUUGUCAGCCAUUUCCAGAUAUGAGAGUUGUAAUCCAAGUGGGCCCUGAAUCAUAUCCAGAAAGUGUAUAUUCUCUCAAUUAACAAGAAUAUCUAAGAUCAGGGAUGUGUGCGUUUGAGAUGCCCUGAAAUAGGUCGUAUUUGUAAAGAGAUCAGGUCUUUUGCAUCCUAGUGCACAAGAAACGAUAUUCUUCCCAUUUCAA